UUCUGAUGCUGACAGUGGUUGAUUACGUCGAAGAUAUCUACAGAUUCUACAGGAGCAUUGAGUGAUAACCUAUCCAUGGAGAUUGGAGAAUGUGCCGAGAAAGGAGCCGCAGAUUGUCGGAGUAAGCGCCAUGUUGAUAGCCAGCAAGUAUGAGGAGACUUGGGCACCACUGGUUAAGGACUUCCUUUGCAUAUCAGACACUCCUUCAGCAAAGAGCAGGUUCUGAGGACAGAGAAGUCCAUACUGAACAAGCUCCAGUGGAACCUGACUGUUCCAACAAUGUACAUGUUCCUCGUUCUGUACCUGAAAGCUGCAUUGGGUGACAAGGAGUUGGAGAACAUGACAUUUUUCUAUGCUGAGCUAGCAUUUUUCUAUCGGUGAUAGCAGCCGCUGCUGUCUACGCUGCUCAGUGUACCAUUGUCCUGAGCCCAAUAUGGAACGAUCUUUUGGAGUACCACACCGGAUUAGUUGAGCCACAAUUCUGUAUGUCUUCUUCACUACGAUUUGAUCUUUCCUUAUGAAAUCUGAUUGCACACUGAAUCUGAAGAAAAUGACCUGUGAGUGAAUUGUGUUGUUGCUGCACGCCCAGAAAGGGG